CAUGCACAUAAUGCUGUUGCGGCCUUCUGUCAGUUAUGGAAUAUAAUACGAAAUUGAGCCAUUUAAACAGAAUCUUUACACAUUUACAUGGGCUUCUUUAUGGCAUAAGACUCUUGAGUUGAUUAAAACUUAUAGUGAGCAGCACUCAGAGAGACAGCUGAAUGCAAACAGUUCAUUUGUCUGGCUCUCACAUAACCCCCAGUGGAGAGGUGCUUGAUGAUUAAUUAAUCAGUGAACUGGCAGUCUUAACUGAAUUAUUCAUCCCAAGUCCUGUCUGUAAUUUCUGCAUCUCCAUAUUAGAUUCCUGCUCCAACUAUGUCCCCUUAGCUUUCGGGCAAGGUUACCUGAUCUAGCCUCUAUCAGUAGGCAGCCAAAACGAGGGAGGAAAACGAAUAGUGUCUGGUUUCUCACUUUCUAAAAGAAUCCACUUGAACCUUUUAGUUGGUCUCGUUUGUUGAAGGAAUGGACACUUUGCAGGAAAACUUUAAUAAUAAAUUGAAAUAGGGACUGGUUCUUGCUGUGCGAAUGAAUCGUGCUAAUUAUAGCAAUUACCUUUCUGUUGUAGUUAGCGUUAGCAUUUAGCCUCAAGUUAGCAGCACAUCUUAGGUUUGAGUGACUUGGGUCUUAGUCUAGAUAGACUACACAAUACUCUUUCUUUAUAUAGUCAGCUUUUUCUAAAGUGACCGUCAGUAAAUGUCCAGGUGCACGCUCUCAUAAACAAUAUUAAGCAGUUGGGUCACCUGAUAAGGCCUGAGAUAGAGAUGUGGAGCUGAAACAGGAGCCACCACAGAAAGAGAAAGCCUAUCUGGUGUUGGGUGCUUGCCAGCAAGAGAGAAGGCCAUUGCAGUAGAUCAGAUCAAGAAAAAGUGUAUGGGACAAAAUGCAGUUUAGAGAUCUGGAUGUGAUAAGCCUUUGGUCUGUUAAUCUUCUCAAGGUCUUUUUAGACCCUUACAGAACUGUUAUGUAUGGAAAGAGCUAAAGUGCUCAUGUGGGAGAAGUAAAGUAAGAUUAGUAGUAAGUUUAUUCUUUCUCUCUCUUUCACUCUGCUUUCUCUCCUCACCGAGCAGUGGCAUUUGCGAUGUGUGCGCUUGAGGAGGUGUGUGUAAUGAGACUAUUAGCCGUGCUCAUCUUUCAGGGUCCGACAUACCUAGAGAGCAAGUCCAUCAUCUUGAUCUUAGCUACUACUGGCCCCAGGCCAGCGAAGGAGGCGGGGACGCUGUUGCAUAUCAGUACUCACACCUUCAAGGCCAACUGGGUGCCUUGAAUGUGUGUAUUUGAUGGACUGCUACUAUUCCUUAUUUAUCUCAAACAGCCCGUGACUUUGAGCUCCAGAACUGCCUUCAUAGUAUUUCCUUCUUCCCGAGCACCAGGUACCUCUCCGAACUCAACCAAUCUCUUUGAAAUAAUUCAAGCAGCACAAUUACCAUCUUGAGAUUACUUCCUCUAAAAUAGCAGCUUGAUACCAUUUAGAAGGAUUCUCAGUGGGACACUAAUGAGCUCCAAUCUGGAGUAAUCCCAGACGGCCAGCUGGCUGACAGCCAGCGCUGGGGCUCUGCGGCUCGCCGUGCUGUCUUAGCUAUCGGAUCCGACAAGGAGAAGCACUUGGCCCGUACGUGCAUUGCCGUCUCCCUUUUCCAGACUGGCACCUGGGAAAAAAUCCACAGCCAAAAUCCACACGAUGGCAUCAGCAAACAGUCUACCUGAUAUGACUCACAAGGAGAGAAAAGAAGCACCGGGAUUGAGGAAUGCUUUUUCCAUUUCCACUGUCAGGGAUCGUUUCCUUUUCGGAAAAUUGCCUUAAAAACCAGAUGAAACAGCACUUCUGAUGCCAUGAAUCUACUGUAUAUGCGAAGUUAUACACACCUUGGCACCCGGUGAUGUCAAUUUACAUGAAUGCUUCAUUUAUGCUUUUAAACUUUUUUGCAGUGGAACACAGUAAUGAGUAGCACUUCCAUCAAUAAGAUCAUCAAUAAUCUCACAGGACAUUAUUUUAUCUGUCCAUUUCUGUCCAAACUCUUUUGCAAAAAGUAAAUAUCCAUUGUGGCCUCCAUUACUCAGGUGCUUGCCCUUUAACCUCAUGGCGACAGGUCCAGACUGCCCUCCUAAUGACCUGUCUCUUCUGUCUGAUUGGACGAGGAAAAAAACAAAACCAAAAAAAAAAAAACCGUUCUGUAUAGGCAGAGCAUCUCUGAAGGAUAAUGAGACGAGCUCGGUACAGGAGUGCAACGUGAUGCAAGUGCCCUCCCUAUACAGGGACAUUUAUUCCAUUGUACAUAUUUAUGAACGUCUACUUGUAUUUUUUAUCAUAAUGCUCGGCAAGCACGAAUCUAGUGGACUACCGUGGGACUACGCGACGAUGAGAUUGACAAUAAUAAUAUAAAAUCCAAACAUAUAAGGCAGUGCCAAGCACUGUAUGGAGGGGAUUUAUGUUAUCCAACAGAUAACACAUCGCAGGCUUCGGAGCAUUAUUCCUGAUGGAUUACCUCAUGUCUGGAUCACUCCCUUUUGAAAGAUGAGGCAAUGGCUUAAGGCGGUGGCACAGCUGGAACUGUUGGCAAAACACACAGCGCACAAGAUGAGACACAAUGACGUGGCAGUUAUUGCAUCACCCGUUGCAAAUCUCAAGGUGCUUCAAAAUGCUGCCAUUGAAAAUAUGUUAAACAGUACGAAUGGUGUGUGAAGUACUUUGUCUUUGGUUUCUACUUUAAUCUGUUGUCAGAAGGAAUACUUUUGGGGUCAAAUGCUCUUUUUGGUUGACCGCUUACCAGACUGGCCAGAGACGUCCAUCAAUGAUCUGCCUUAAAUUGACAUUGUUAUUAAAGUAAGGAAUUAAACACUUGAGGGCAUUCUGUUAAAGGAAAAUAAUUAAUGAUUGAAGCAGAGUUAAUGUUAUCACUCUGAACUUGAUUAUUUUCCUAUAAUCGUUUUACUAUUUGUUUUGGCACAUUAAACUAUUUUUAAAAAUCUAUUUAUAUUUUAAUAACUUUUACAAUUGUGGAACAUCCAUGAGACAAAUUAGUUCCUGUUAUCACUUAUAUUAUAGCAGCUAUAAACAGUUGUUCCCUCACUCUUUCCAUAAAUCCUAAAUAAAUGUCUCCUUAUAGAAAGCUUCAGCAAAUCACCGAAUGGCGGCACAGAAAAUCGUUCAUCCUAUCUUUUAAAUCUGCAUCCUUGGCUGCGAGCCCAAGAGAAGCAAAAUCGCUCUCUGGGUGGGAGGGAUGGCAUACCCCUGUCAAUCACAGUGACAUCAGCCAUUCAUAGGUGUUUGUGAGUCCAUGUACUGUAUGUGGAAGAGGGCAGUUAAUCCAGUUUUUCUCAGAGUGUGUUAUGCUGCCCCGUGAUGUGGUGGCUUCGUGUGUCUGGGAGGAAGCAUGUGUUAGGCUUCACCCACGCUGGCUGGUAGCUGUUAUGUGAUAGGAGAGAACUAGCUAGUAGUUGGCAAAUGACCAAAAUGUGAGAAAAUGUAUCUAAAAUGGUAUAUUAAAAAAAUGGUUUGAUGUCUCGUAUACAAAAUACAUUUUUUUACUCCAUCAAAAACAUUUUUAAAGCUCUUAGUCUGGCUGAUGUUAUGUGAGCCGAUAUGAGAGGCGUUUUUAUUUUUUAUUUUUUUUAAACGUCAUUGUGAAGCUGGUGACUGUAAUUGAGUCGAGGUCUUAUAAUGUCCAGCAAUUUUGUGUGAGUGAUGUUCUAGUUCCCACAGUGGAGCAGAAGAGGGAAAGAGACGCUUGUCUCCCACAGGCACAUGGGCUAGGGGAGUGUGUUUUCAUUGCAGUUAGACAAUUUGUUUACGUUCGCUGUCUGACAGAGUAACGGAUUGGCAACUGGGGAAGCAUGGACUCUGUGUGUGUGUGUGUGUGUGUGUGUGUGUGUGUGUGUGUGUGUGCGCGUAUCUCACUGAUUGCCAUGAAGUGCACAUUAUUCACUUUUUAUAUGUUGCAGUCCCAUGGGAAUAUGACAACCAGGGACACUGUGCUGCAUUAUUUUUCUGUGCAUGAAUGGAAAUGGGGUAAAAAUGCACAUUGUAGCAGCAGUUUCUGUUCCAAACAGUGAGUGUGUAAGUUGCUGGUGUAAAUUCCCACAUGCUGAGUGGUGAUGGCCAAGCCACUCUGAUAUAUUGCAGGAUGCCAUCAUUCAAAUCACAAAUCUUGUCUGUCACUGGGGACGAUGCGUCGUGAGUUCUGUGAUGUAUUUAUGUUCAACAGGCAUUUACAUUCAAGCAAAAGAGGAAGGCUGCUUGACUUUUUAUGAUAUUUAACAUUUGACGUGUUGUCAUGAAGAACAGACAUACAGAAGGAGACCCAAAGGGGGAAGGGAGAGGUAUUUGUACCAGCAAUUGCAUUUGACAUAGUUUUACUCUGUGUGUGUGUGUGUGUGUGUGUGUGUGUGUGUGUGUGUAUUACCAUUCCUGCUCCAGUCCAUAUAUGACCCCUCCACCAGUCACACACUCUGCCAAAACAGAUGCGAGAAACCCAAUACGGGCCCUGAGGGGCGCCAGUGUGUUCAAGAGUCAUUUCAGCCAGUCUGCGACUCACCUGAGUCAACAACUGAGUCAUUAAAUUAACUAACGUAAUUACCACACCGCUUUUCAGAACAGUUAACUAUAAAUAUAUAUAGCUGUUUAAGCGGCAACAGCUUCCCCAUUUAGAAAACAUUUCAUGGUUUCCCCGUCCCAGUUCAUCCAUAAAAUCUUUAUAACUGAUGCGAGAUUUCCCCCACAAAACUGUAACCCGUACGAUAACCAUCGGUGGUGGGCAAACGACUGACUAUUAAAAUGAACAGAGGCUUUUAAUCUCGUCAGACUGGCUAACCAGGCUGCAACAUGACCUGUGGAUCCGCUAAUGGCUGCUCUGCUGUUAAAAAAGGAAAGUGGUGGCAGCACAAGCCUCGUUGGCAAUGGUGUGUUUAACGCACCAUUAAAUUGGCAGUAACUGACAACAGCUAGGAGGGCGCUGGAGGCAUGGUAUGAUGUGUGCUCCUCUAGCCUCGAAUUCAGGUGAUACAACGUCGCCAGGAUACAAUGAGCCACCAAUCAGUUCUCCUUAUUGAGGGAUGUUGACCAUUUUUGCCUCGUGAAGCACAGCCACAGUGCAUGAUUAAAAAAUGAGGUGAGGAUUCAAGCAGGGAUUGAGCAGCAUUUGGUUUAGUGGCUCCGCAGUGCACUAGCUGUUGCCAUGCAGAGAUGGCAAAAUUGUAAACAUAUUUUUUGCUCGAGUAAAAGUGCAAUUACUCAUCAAAAGCUCAGCUUCAAAUUAAGGUAAUCACAAGAUCCACAAAAGAAAAAGAUAUCAGCUUCUAACCACAUGCUGAUUGUAGUAACUGAUGGUGAAUUAGUUCCUUUUUCACACAAGUAUGUGGGAAAAUAUUAGCUAAAGUGAACGAACAGCAUCUUUAUUCUUAAUCUCUCAAAUGUUAGCUUGCGUUAGAAUAACUGAUGGUACAGACUGACUAAAUGUGAAGAGCUAAACAAAACAAAACAAACUGCAACGAUCAAUACAAAGUGUACAUAGAAGCAGACAGAUUACAGUGAUGGGUAUUAGCUCUCAUCAUCACUCUUGCUGUCACAUCUGUUAAAGUUUAGCUUUGUUAGGAAUUUAGAUCGACUCCGUGAAGCUCUCUGAUGCUAAAAUGUCACCUUAUGACGUUACAAAUAGAUGAUUGUAGAAUUGUAGAGCUAUAUAGUGUUUAAAAAUUGUAGUGAGUAGGAAGUAGGGAUUUUUAUUUUUAAAUAUAGUGAGUAGAAGUUAAAAGUAUAUAUAUAUAUAUAUAUAUAAAAACUGACUUUAAAAUUAAAAAUUAACAAUUUUAAAUUUAAAAACAGACUUAAAUAGGCCCAGCUCUGUUGCCCUGCCUCAUUGAGCAAGCUUUUACCAACCUUGCUUGGAAAUUAUCCAUCUUAAAACAAGAUAUUUAAUAUCUUUUCAUUGAGUUCUUUCACUGAGUCAAUCACUACGCUAUAUGGCCAAAAGUAUGUGGACGCCUGACCAUCACACCCAUAUGUGGUCCUUCCCCAAACUGUUGCCACAAAGUUGGAAACAAACAGUUCUCUUUGUAUGUUGUAGCUUUACGAUUUCCUUUCACUGGAACUAAGAGGCCCAAACAUGUUCCAGCAUGACAAUUCCCAUGUGCACAAAGUGAGGUCUAUAAAGACAUGGUUUACUCAGAUUGGUCUGGAAGAACUUGUGCACAGAGCCCUGACCUCAACCUCACUGAAAACCUUUCGGAUGAACUGGAACACCAACGUUGCACCAUACCUUCUUGCAGGAUAUUAGCAUGAAUCCUCACAGCCACUGUCCAAAAUCUAAGUAGAAAGCCUUUUCAGCAGAGUAGAGGCUGUCGUAGCAGGAAAGGGCAAACAACUUGAUAUUAAUGCCCAUGGUUUUGGAAUGGGAUGUUCAAAACUCAUGUGUCCAAAUACUUUUGGCCAUAUAGUGAUAUAAGUGAUAUACAGUGCUCAUACAAAGUCCAUUCGAAAUGCUUAUACAUGUCCACACUUAUGUGUGUGUGUUAGACAGGACUAACAGUCAUGUGAUUACAGUCAAGUUCUGGGUCACCUCUCAACCAUUUAAUACUGCUCAAUCCUAAAAUAAAAUUCCUGUCACUACACAGAACCAAGGAACUCAAGGCAUUUGCUACAGAGAUUAGAGCUCCUCUAGAAGACGAUAACAAUUCCCUAUGGACCAAUUACUUGUUAGGAGACAGAGUUUGUUUAUGAGUGUAUGAACUGGGACUCGUCUUAUUUCAUCACACCAGCGAAAGAACAUGUGAUAUAAGGUUACGGCAUCUUGCUUAAACAUUUAAACAUAUUAGAAGACGAUUCUGUCUUACAUUUUGUUCAUGAUUCAGUUCUGAGAGUAAUGGAAGAAAUCCAUGUUUUGGACAUGUCACACUGAUAUGAAAUUGAUAAAUAUGUACGUAAAUUGUAUGCAUGUAUGUAAAAAAAAAAAAAAAGACACCUUUUAUAUAGGUAAAGUGUCCUUCACAACAUUAUAUUUGCAUGAUUCAUAUAAAUAACUAAAAAUGGUAAUAAAACCUCUACUUACAAAGCAGCAUUUUUUUGUCUUUCCUAGCCCACUAUGAUUACACAUGAACUAUAAUCAUUAAAAAAUAGAGAUAUUUUUAAAUCAUAUUAUUUUUGUAUUCAUGUAUGAAUUCAGUAAACACCUCAUGCUUGAAACAUUUUUUCCGUGAAUCAUCCGUAAUAGGUUAUGAAAGCUGUGCAUUAUAGUUACAUAUGAACUUAACCCUGUUGAAGACGUUCACCCCUAUAAAAUAUGUGGAGUAUUCCACGAUUCCUUCAACAGGAAGUUGCAUAGUCCAAAUUUCCUAAAGAUCGCGGGAAGAAGAAAAGUAAGCUUUCUCAAUCUUUUUUUCCCCUUUUUUAUUAAACACAUUGUGAUUUUGACUGGCAUGGUCAUUUUGAAUGUACAAACCUUUUCCCCAAAUUAUAGAUUAUAUUAUUAGAGUAAAUUAUUUCAUUUGUUUUUAAUAUCCUAACUGUCUUUAAUGUCCUAAUACCGUUAGCAUUGAUCUUAGUUAACUACGUUUUGUAUGUUUGCUAAUUUGAACCUCAACCCUGCUACGUGUUAAUCCUGUUAAGAGCCAAAUGCAGACAUUUUAAGCAAAGAAACCUGGUGACAAAAAUGAAUUUGAAAUUAAUUGAUUGAAUUAAUUACGUUAAUUUUUAAGCGUUAAAAGGCCCAGUUGUGGAAUCAGUCAGUGAACAUUAUAUAUAGAAUAUAGAAUAUAAACAAUUGAUCUUGUUCUGUAGAUGAUAUUAGAUGGUGGCAUGGUUUAGAUCCGAUCAUCUGCUCCAUCAGAUGCCUUUUAUUUCGCAACUGGAAGUGCAGAUUGAAGCCGUGUCAGUUGAUGUGUGUGUGUAUGUGUGUGCGUGUGUGUGUAAUUGUUACAUGCGUAUGAUCUCAUCUCUACCUUCCCUCUGAAACAAUGCCACCAGGGGUGUACUGUCAGUAUUGUACGUGUGUGUACCCAUAUGAGUGUGUGUCAGAGCAGACCGGUGGCGCAGAACAGCAUUCCUCAUGAAAACCCGAGCGGUGGUUGAGCGCUUAGCAACCGGCCCCAGUGGCCCAGCUCCCCCGAGAGUCUGAUGCUCGGGCUUAGACGCAUUCAUUAGCCAGGAGGGAAUCUUGGGCUGCCUUAAAUAUUCAUGCUGUUUACAGGAACAAAAGCCGCCAUUAAUGAAUAAAGGCUCAUUAGAGCAUUGUCUAUUGCGCCAGCCCCAGUGGAUAUCUGGAGCUUGUUUGUGCAGCGAGGCUCUGCUCAUCUGUAAUAAUCAUAUCCGGAAGAGAAGUUGUGAACACUUAGUUCUGAUGAUAUUGAAUUUUAUCUUCAGGACUGUGAGUGCAGGUAUUGAUUUUUCCAUGUGAUGUGAAUUGGAGGAGUGUGGAUAUUUCCGCCACUGAUGUGGCUGUAG